ACCGCAUCUCCCCACUAAUUUAAGCUCGAUCCAUCUUCCUGGAUCUGGGAGCCAAAAUAUCCUCUUCAAUACAAGACCAAAGGGGUCUGCAGGCUUCAGCUAAACCAGAUUUUUCAUACUUGGGAACAAAGGGAACACAUACAUAGAUGGAAUCCCAGGCCCACUGAGAGGCGCUGCUGGAAAUGGAUAGUGAAAAUGAUACAUGGGAGAAUAAGCUGCAUGAUCCAGGUGCAACUCCAAUGUUUAUUUUCGAUGAGUCUCCGGGCCUCCAGUGGAACAUGGGAUAUGAAAUAAUCAAGGAAAUUUGUGAGGGUUUAAAUUACAUGCAGAAGGAGCGCUAUAUUAUUCAUCUGGACCUGAAACCUGAAAAUAUAUUGAUGGAUGCUACUAUGGUGCCGAAA